UUAGAGUUUGAUCCUGGCUCAGAACGUACGCUGGCGGCACGCCUAACACAUGCAAGUCGAACGAAGUAGCAAUACUUAGUGGCAGACGGGUGAGUAACAUGUAGGUAUCUGCCCUUUGGCCUGGAAUAACACGAGGAAACUUGUGCUAAUACCGGAUAAGUCUUUACGGAGAAAGCUUUAUGCACCAUUGGAUGAGCCUGCACUUGAUUAGUUUGUUGGUGGGGUAAUGGCCUACCAAGACUGUGAUCAAUAGCUGAUUUGAGAGGAUGAUCAGCCACAUUGGGACUGAGACACGGCCCAAACUCCUACGGGAGGCAGCAGUGGGGAAUCUUGCACAAUGGAGGAAACUCUGAUGCAGCGAUGCCGCGUGAGUGAAGAAGGCCCUUGGGUUGUAAAGCUCUUUCGUCGGGGAAGAAAAUGACUGUACCCGAAUAAGAAGGUCCGGCUAACUUCGUGCCAGCAGCCGCGGUAAUACGAAGGGACCUAGCGUAGUUCGGAAUUACUGGGCUUAAAGAGUUCGUAGGUGGUUGAAAAAGUUAGUGGUGAAAUCCCAGAGCUUAACUCUGGAACUGCCAUUAAAACUUUUCAGCUAGAGUAUGAUAGAGGAAAGCAGAAUUUCUAGUGUAGAGGUGAAAUUCGUAGAUAUUAGAAAGAAUACCAAUUGCGAAGGCAGCUUUCUGGAUCAUUACUGACAUUGAGGAACGAAAGCAUGGGUAGCGAAGAGGAUUAGAUACCCUCGUAGUCCAUGCCGUAAACGAUGUGUGUUAGACGUUGGAAAUUUAUUUUCAGUGUCGCAGGGAAACCGAUAAACACACCGCCUGGGGAGUACGACCGCAAGGUUAAAACUCAAAUGAAUUGACGGGGACCCGCACAAGUAGUGGAGCAUGUGGUUUAAUUCGAAGAUACGCGCAGAACCUUACCAACACUUGACAUGUUCGUCGCGACUCUAAGAGAUUAGAGUUUUCGGUUCGGCCGGACGAAACACAGGUGCUGCAUGGCUGUCGUCAGCUCGUGUCGUGAGAUGUUGGGUUAAGUCCCGCAACGAGCGCAACCCUCACUUUUAGUUGCCAUCAUUAAGUUGGGCACUCUGAAAGAACUGCCAGUGAUAAGCUGGAGGAAGGUGGGGAUGACGUCAAGUCCUCAUGGCCCUUACGUGUUGGGCUACACACGUGCUACAAUGGUAUCUACAACAGGAAGCAAGACUGCGAAGUUAAGCAAAUCCCUAAAAGAUACCUCAGUUCGGAUUGCACUCUGCAACUCGAGUGCAUGAAGCUGGAAUUACUAGUAAUCGUGGAUCAGCGUGCCACGGUGAAUGCGUUCCCGGGUCUUGUACACACCGCCCGUCACACCAUGGGAGUUGGUUCUACCUUAAGGCAAGGUUUCAAACCCUUGACCACGGUAUAGUCAGCGACUGGGGUGAAGUCGUAACAAGGUAACCAAU
rnacentral:rRNA from 1 species